UGGGAUAUAGCUCAAAGGCAGAGCAUUUGACUGUUAAUCAAAAGGUUGAGGUAUCGUAAUCCUCUAUCCCAG
rnacentral:tRNA from 1 species